GAGUUUGAUCAUGGCUCAGAGCGAACGCUGGCGGCAUGCUUAACACAUGCAAGUCGCACGGUCAGGGUAACCUGGCAGUGGCGGACGGGUGAGUAACGCGUAGGUAUCUAUCCUUGGGUGGGGGACAACCGUGGGAAACUACGGCUAAUACCGCGUGAUGUCUGAGGACCAAAGGCGCAAGUCGCCUGGGGAGGAGCCUGCGUACGAUUAGCUAGUUGGUGGGGUAACUGCCUACCAAGGCUCCGAUCGUUAGCUGGUCUGAGAGGAUGAUCAGCCACACUGGGACUGAGACACGGCCCAGACUCCUACAGGAGGCAGCAGUGGGGAAUAUUGGACAAUGGGCGCAAGCCUGAUCCAGCAAUGCCGCGUGUGUGAAGAAGGUCUUCGGAUUGUAAAGCACUUUCGACGGGGACGAUGAUGACGGUACCCGUAGAAGAAGCCCCGGCUAACUUCGUGCCAGCAGCCGCGGUAAUACG
rnacentral:rRNA from 1 species